AAGGAGGAAUCACUCAGCUGGCAAACGUACUUUACAAAGUAAACGCGAACAAUGAGGAUUUUACUGUAUAUUGCCGUGGGCUGGUUUCUCGUCUGCAUGAUUAGAGCGGACGAAGAUGACGAAUCAGGCGAGAAGCAUCAGAGUGGAUCCACAGAUGAGGAGCGUUCGUCUCGGUCGAAGCCAAAAUUAACGAACGGUGACGAUGAUGAAGUUGAAAACGAGGACCGAAGUCGGCGUAGACGCUUGAGGAAGCCAAGAGAAUCGGACG